rnacentral:lncRNA from 1 species
UAAAAUUAAGAAACAUCAACAUUUCAUUAACUGUGAAAAAUACUAUGACAAAGUAGUAUCAUAUGUCAUCAAGCUAAAUUAGAACAUAGUUAACCGUUUAUAUUAGUUAGCUAUUAUAUUAUCCUAAUACAUCCACUUCAAUUAAAAUGAAUCUCAAUGGUUGUCACUGGGAUUACUAGCGCCAGAAGAUCUUCUUGUAUUCGUCGGUGAAACGAGUCCACUAACUGCAUAACUUGACUGCAGCAAAAAGUAAAAAAAAAAAAUACAAGUAUUAAGAGGAGUAUCAGGAAACAAGUCAUUGAGAUAAAAUAUAUGUUGUCUACUUAAACCAACAAAAAAGAAUGAAACGGGACAAGAUACGAAGCCUCUAGUCUAAAAGGCAGACGAUAUGCAACACGAAUACAAAGAGAAUAAAGCAUUUAUUUAAUAAGUGAUACAACACUUAUGGCAAAAUUCAUGUAGACUAUUAUUUUUUCUUUUUGAAUUACUAUCCUCUAACUUCGACCAGAAUGUUAUGUUAUAGUGAUCCUUUGAACAAAGAAAUAUGAAUCAUUUGGUUUUCUGCAGGUUUGGGGGUUGACUUGAAGUAAAAUUGUGUAAUACUAGCUGGUUUUGGAGCUGAAAUUGACAUGUAUGAAAAAUAAAAUUGCACAAUACACCAAAAAUAAAAAGAACUUAUCAUUUACCGUUGUAGGAGAAGCAAAUAUCCCAGCAAAUUGUUCUAGUAUUGGCCCUUCCUUCAUUAUCAUGUAUGCUUUGAGAGUAUUCAUCAAUUGAUUGUACUUCUCUUGGCAUCAAGAAGAAGAACAUCCAACAUUAUUACUCACAAUUCUAAUAUUACCAAGACAAAGAUUUGUCUCUUUGAAAGUAUUGCUUGGAGUAACUCCUAAUCCCAAACAUCUCACCCUUCCAGGAUGCUCUUUGCCUAGCACCUUACCAACAACAUCAUUUGGAGAAAUUUCAGACUCAUCCACUGUACUUUCACUCACUGCUAGCUCAAUUUUUUCCUAAACACAAUACACAUAAAAAAAAUUCGAGCCAACCUUAUAACUGUAUAUUUUAUAGUCUGAAUGAGUAACCUGAAAAAGAAAGGUCGCUACUGCUAUUGCCGACACUAUUAAUCUGACAAUUACCCUCGUACCCUAUUACUAUAUUAAAUUUCAGGUUUCAAAUGUGAAAGUUAGAAAAAAAGUAACUAAAGAAGAAAAUGAAAAACACAUUAUUAAUGGUAAGCAUGUAUGUAGUAAUUGUUGAGACAUAUCCAAAGGUCCACAACACAGUUAAAGGCUACGCACCCACCCUAUAUUCAAAACGUUGUUAUCACUUUCUCCUCGUUGAAAACUCUCUUUUCCCACUUUGCCCCACGACUACCACACUUUCCUUCACAUGUUUUUGUCAUGUUCAAUAAAUUAUAACUACACCAAAUUAAAUAAAACACAGGGCCAGUUUAUUAGUAGAUCAUUUCCAUGCAUUUAUCAUGGACCGGGCACAAGGCAACUUUACAACACAGUAAGAGUCAAUAUGAACAAACAAAAAUCAAUUUAUCUGUCUAAGAAAUUUGUGGAUAACAACUUCUUUGCCAUUGCUAUUGGAGAAGAUUAAACAAAAGAUAUCAGCUUGAAAUCCUAAAGAACCCAAAACAAAAUGAAGAGAAAAGACUCUUUAACAUAUUCCAAAAGCAAGAUUAACCAGAAUUCAAGAGAAUAAGAGGAAAAAAGACUAGAGAUUAAAACAUCAAAAGCGAACAAAAAUUCACAACUUUUACAGACAUAUUAGGAAUAAAGAGAUGAUAUUUACAAUAUCAACUGGUGCUUUGAUGUGCUUAACAAUAGAAGAAGAACACUGGUGGUCACUGGGAUUCCUUUUAUCAACAAAGUUCACCAUAUGAUUCCUUUUAUUCUAGUUUUCAUGAUAGUCACACAUAGAUCAUUCUAUCUUAGCUGUUCAGAGCAACAUAGUAUCAUGAACAAGACUGUCGACUAGAGUCAUUUAGGCAAACAAGUCAGCAUGAGAACAUGAAAUAGAAUCAUUACUAAGAGUCGUUCAAUAGACUAGACCAAAACAUCAUGACAUAAAGGUUGAAACAAACACAAUGAUGCAGGUGUAAUGGUCUUAUAUUGUAACUUACACAUAUUUCUUUUGCCUGCUCAUUUACAUAUGAUGCAUCUUUUUUCGUAUGUAUAGCAAGAUAAAGUUGUGCUCGUCUAGGCUUACUCCCCGUCUCAGCCAUCUAUGUAUGAAAACAAAAAUAAGUCAGAAUAGUUUAAUUAAAGUAAAAGAAAUAGAUACAAUAUCUAAAAUUUAAAUAGUAAAGUAAGGUAAAUAAUGUGAUAUCUUUCACCAUUUCAGCCCUUCUUCUAGAAUUAGGUUUGGAGCCACCGGUGUGUGGAACUGUUUGUUUCUUCCGAUUUUCAGCAUUUCUUUUACACAUGUUCUAACAAUAAGAUACAUUUCAGUCAAUUAUAUAAAUGAAUAAUCAUAUUUUUAUGCAUUUCAAUGUGACGUUUCAGAAAAAUACCUGAGUUUCUUCUUUAUAACGGUAGUUCACAAAGGAAGUCCAUUGAUCCCGAGUAAUACCUACCAGAACAUUAUUAAUAAUCUCAUAUUUAGUUUUAAGUGGGUCUUUAAACUCAUACCACAACUUCUGCCUACUUGCAGCCCACUUAUUUGCAAUAGAGCGAUAAACAUAUCCUCGUGUAACUUCCUCAAUGGUCAUAAAACAGAAAUGAGGCUUCAAAAAUAAAUUUUGGUUAGUUUAUCUUUUAUAUACAAAUAUAAAAACAAAAGACAAAAUAGAGAUAUAGUUAUAAAGAUAUAGAACUUAUACCUUUAUAACGUUAUUAAAGCGGUUGUUAAAGUAUGACUUAGGCAUAUCCGACCAUUUAUCAAAGCCAAUUGAAAAUAUGGUACAGUCAGUUGCUAAAAGUCCACAUACGCCUGCAAGAAGGCCUUGUGCUUCGCCAAUCGGAUCCAAGUAAUCAAACUCCACCACAAGACUGCAACAACCUCUUUUGGCAGCACAUUGUGAAUUGCUAUUGGUAGCAAUUGUUCUAUAAUAAUGCGACAAUCAUGACUCUUUAAUCCAAAGAUUCUCCUUUGGUACGGAUCAAUGCAAUGAGAAAUAUUACUCGAGUAACCAUAUGGCACUGAAAUAUUCUUUAAAGUUGUGAGGAAGGCCACUUUCUUUUCCCUUGGAAUGGUAAACACAGCAAGCCAACAAUUAUCAUUCUCAUCAGGUCAAAGAUCACACCUUAUACCCAUAUCUUGUAAAUCUUUUCUUGCCUUAAUAUUGUCUUUUGAUUUGUCUUUAUCAUUGAGCAAUGAAUAUAUAAUAUUGUCAAACAUAUUCUUUUCGAUGUGUAUGACGUCUAAAUUGUGGCGCAACGAAUUGAAUUCCCAAUAUGGAAGAUUAAAGAAUAUGCUUUUUUCCUCCAUUGUUGCGCUGCACCUUGCCCAAUAUUUCUUUAUCUUGAUCUUUUCCUUCUCUCAGUCUACUCAGCCGGUUUUCCAAAUGUAACAUCAAUAUCUUUCACUUGUUGUAAAAUAUCAGAUCCGGAUAACUUUUUUGGUGGAUUUCUUUCCUCAACAUAAGCGAUGCCUCAUCAAUCUAAAUUUAUGAUUUCUUGCUAAAAAUCUACGAUGGCCAAUAAAGCACCACUUUCUACUAUGGUGAAGCCGACAAGGUUCUACAUCAAAAUUACAAGUGGGACAUGCUAAACCAGUAUGUGAGUUCUAACCAAAUAAGAUAUUGAGUCCAGGAGAGUCAUUAAUUAUCCACAUAAGAGUUGCUCGCAAUCUAAACAUCUCUUUCUUUGAUGAAUCAAAAGUUUCGACAACCUCACUCCACAACUCAUUCAACUCCUUAAUAAGGAGUUGUAGGUAAACAUCUAUGUUAUUUCCCGCUGUACGUGGACCAGGAAUGAUCAUUGAGAGAAUAAAAUUUGGUUGUUUCAUACACAACCAAGGAGGAAGGUUGUAUGGAACUAAAACAACUGGCCAAACGCUAUAAUUAGUAUUCAUCAUGCCAAAAGGAUUGAAGCCAUCACUAGCUAGGCCUAGCCGAACAUUUCGAGGAUCAAAAGCAAAUUCAGAAAAAGUUGUAUCAAACCUCUUCCAUGCCUCACCAUCUCUAGGAUGCCUCGUGACUCCAUCUCUGUCACCAUCCUCAGCAUGCCAUCUCAUAUGUUUUGCUAUUUUAGAGCACAUGAACAAUCUCUGCAACCUUGGUUUUAAUGGAAAGUAACGCAAAAUCUUUGCAGGCUUCUUGGUUUUCUUUUUGAUUUUCUCCUUACCUGUAGCAGACACAAGAUCUUCAUUUCUCUUCUUGAUAGGCUUCCACCUAGAAGUGUGACAAUACUUACAUGUUUUCUCAUUAGCAUCAUUUCCCAAAAAUAACAUACAAUCAUUUGGACAAGCAUCUAUCUUGAUAUAAUCAAGACAAAGCUUACUAAUGGUUUUCUUGGCUUCAUAAUAAGAAUCAGGGAUCCUUGAAAAUGUAAAUGCGUCCCUCAACAAAUCUAGUAUCAUGGUCAUUCCCUGGUCUAAGACCCUUGUCACUUAGACCAGACAAAUACUUAUGUGAUAUAAUUUUAAUAAAAAUUCUAGUUUUGAGUAAUUGGACCCUUCAUACAAUUCUUGACUUCUAUAUCUAAGCAACUCGAAAAAGUCUUUGUCAUUUGAAGCAGGCUCACCAUUUAACCAUUCUUCACCACCCACUACUUAUAAUGGACCUACAUCAACCCCAUCUUACCUUAGGCCCCCAAAUACUUCAUUGAUCAAUAAUUCUACAGGAUUCUCAGGAGGUAAUGUAUUUUGUAUAACCUCAAUAUUUUUAGAAUUAGCCAACACAUUCCUUUCACCAUGAAUACUCCAAGUGACAUAAUUUUGAGGGAAUGGUUUGCAAAUCAAAUGAUCAAGCACUACAUCUCUAGUCUGCUACUUUGCGAAUCCACAUUUUGGACAAGGACAUUUUAUUCUAUGUCCUACAAUAGCAUUAGCAAAUGCAAAAUCUAAAAACUGAUUUAAACCAAACAAAUAUUCAGUGGUGUUCCUUCGCUUUCUAAUCCAAGAUUUAUCCAUAAGAAAGUAUUAUCCUUCAAUGCAACAGAUGAACCUUUCAGAAUAUAAAGAGAAAAUAUCAGUUCUCUUUUAUUAGACAGAAAAUAUGAAUACAAAAUAUUAAGCAAUAAAUACAUACAACAAAAAGUCAUCUAUAAUCAUAAACACUACAAAAUUGAAAAUUCCGAAACAGAGAAUGAUUUGCAUAGUCAUAGUCACAUGUCCCAACAAUAAUAAGUAGAUUCAAAGACAUGGAAGUCAAACAAACAAUAAGCAUCAUGAAAUAAAAUAAAUUUACUGUAAGUUAUCAAAAGGAAAUAAUUUACUGUAAAAUAUCUGUCACAAAGCAUCUAAUUUGGAGAAAUUAAUAGGAAAAAAGUCCUUGAUCUAAAAUAUAAUGAUUUAUUCUGUCAUUAAUCUAAAUAUUCAUAUAUAAAGAAUCUGUUAUUUAAAUUCCUUUACUAUAUAAGAAAAUAUGUGGCAUAUAAAUACAGAAAUCUCAUAGAACAUAGAAAUUUUGGAAAACUCCUAUAGAUCAGGAAAAAAAAGAAGCAUAAAUAUGGAGCAACUCUUGUCCAACACUAUUUAUAAGUAUAUCCGAAGUUAUUUAUGGACUAAACGUGAAUUGAUUUCAACAAUAUAUCUAACCAAACUAAUCAAAUAUUAAGAAACAAUGCACCACUUGCUCUCUCUUCUCCUUCUCAUCCACACUGCAUUCAACUAUAAUUUGAGAAUAAAACUUGGUUGAUUGAAUUGAAUGCAACACUACCCACCAACCGACGCCACAGGUAAGUAGACAACUACCUCAUUUACCCUCUCUAUUUACUCCUAUUCACUGACAGUAUCUGCACGUAACCACUCUGUCGCUGCUCCAUAAUAUAUUUGUUAUGUACUUUCAUCCUAUAUAUACUCAACGUUGUUCCUCAGUCUUUAUUAUAGAAUACAGAAUUACAACAUUAUAUAUGAUGGAUACAAAUAGAGCAGGACUUGAUGAGUGCAUCGAGAAGAUCAAGAAAAUGAAGACAAUGGAGUUAAAUGAUACUGGUUCUGAGGAAAAAAGUAGAUAUGAUAGAGGUAGAAGCUAUGAAAUGGUUCUAAGAAUGAUGGGGUUAAUUUUCAUACUAGUAGCGGCUAUUGUGGCUGCCAUCAACAAAGAUACUUAGGAUGUUCCCAUAACUCUCGUAGACGGCUUACCUCCUUUGAGCAGAACCUUUUUCUCAAUUACUUUUUAAAUAGUUUGAAAGUUAACUAUGUGACCUAUAAUAUUUUUAUAUAGUUUUUUUUAAGUAUGUAAAUUUUAUUUCAAAAUACUUGAAGAUUCUAUGUCUGCAUGCUCCGAAUCAAGCCAUUCCAAAAAUUCAACUAAAGUUCUUUUAGAAAAAUUGAAAGCGAAAAACAUGUUCCCCCUCUAAUUUCACCUAAAAAUCAAAUUCACCCACCAACUCGAAUGAGCAUAAUUUCCUGUGCAUUUCUAGCCUUUUCUUUAUAAACAAGCCUUUGUUAUCACCAAUGAAGGACACAAUAAGCAGAAAGAAGUUUGACAGGAUAUAACAAGCAGAUACUAGAAUCAAAGAGAAUCACCAUCGAACAGAAAUAGAACAUCUUCAACACUCCACAAAGGCAUCAGUUGUUAUUCAGAAUAUCAUUGCACUAAUAAAAACAAUGCUUACGCAAUUAAUUCCUUAAGUAUCAAUUUUUUCUGUUUUAAUUUCAGUACUCCCCAAACAACCAUCAAAUUAAGAAACAGAAAGAAGAGAUAAAAGUAAGAAAUUAUAAAAACGAUACAUAUUCGGUACUCAAAUAGGGGGCAUAAACCCUUGUAAAAAUCACAGAAAACCAGUAUUAAAGAGAGAGAGAGAGAGAGAGAGAGAGAGAGAGAGAGAGAGAGAGAGAGAGAGAGAGAGAGAGAGAGAGAGAGAGAGAGAGAGAGAAGGAGAGAGAGAGAGAGGGAGAGAACGGAAGCAAACCCCAGAUGAGAAAAUAAUUAAAAGAAAUGAAUCUCGAAAUAAGCUUAGGUGUAGAUAAAGAGCUUGCCUUGAGUGGUUAGCUUUCUGAUUGGAUCUCUUGUACACGAUGAGAAUCAGACGGAAGUCUUCUGAUUGCCUUGAAUUGAUUUCAAUUAGGUGGAAGUGUUAAGGGAUUUCAAUCAGAACCAACAGAUUGUGGUUUCCUGCACAGAGAGAGAGGGGGAGUCGACUAGGCGGAAGUGUUAAGGGCGGAUAUUUCUAGACUGAAAAGGCUGGGGAAAAAGGAGGGAGUGUGAAAUAAAUUGGGCGCUUUUUUU